CAUGCUCCGAGGUAUAUAUACCCCGAGUAUCCCGUCCACCAGUUGAACAUCGAGAUUCAUUUCUCCGUUGGAUGCUGCUUUGUGAAGUUCUUCUUCUCCCAAGACAGUAAACCCUCUAUUUUUGACUGGCUUACCUAUAUUCUACCUCGUUUGACCACUUUUCAUACGUAGGUUAAGGAUUCCUAGGACAUUACAUAUUCAUAUACGAAUUCACGGUUACGAAGGAUGACGUAAGUUUUGUCCUUUGUUGUAAUACGUUACAGAUCGUCACAAUUCUCCGUAGCUUUAUUUGUAAAAGCAAAGCACUCUUGAGUCAGGUGGAAUUGGUUAACGGUCAUGGAAUAUUGAGAUGGCUUCGGGCUUUUGCCGCGAGAUGGUACUGAAGACUGCGAAUAGCGUUUGGUAUUCGAAUCUUACCGCAUCUUUUCAUAAGAGGAUUAUAUACGUAUCGAGGCGCUAUUAUACUGGAGUCAAGCCCGUGCUCAAAUGGGAACGUAUAUCAGCUCCCUUGCUUUUUAUGGAUCGAUAGACUCUUCCAAAUGAAAAUCUACACGUCAAGAACCAUUGAAAUUCAUCGUACGACUCUGAAGACGUUCUAAAAAUUUCGACGAACUGAAGGAGGUCGGUUGCUAAUCCGAAAAUCCAUUGCGAAAAGGAAUACGUGCAUACGGGAUUAAACAUUGACAAUUUCGCAAGCUAAGAUUUAGGGUCAUCGAUUGGAUCCGGAGUUUCAGGUUUUUGCAUCCGUUUUGUUAUUUGACGCCGUGAAACGUCGCGAUGCCGUAACCAGCGAGACGUCGAUACACCAUGACACAACAGGACGUCACUUUCUUCUUGUUCGAUGAGGGCGCUGGCGUGCGUGACAUUGGCCGCCUAACUUUCCUCGUGUAAUUCGGCGUAGCGCUUCGUUACGAAAUUGAACGAAUUAACAAAUAAAAUCAUUAUUAAACCUUUCGAGUGUAUGUAUGAUAAAUAUAGGAAAAAUUGUUGUUA